rnacentral:tRNA from 1 species
GAUGAGGUGACUGAGUGACUAAGGUGCUGGACUGUUAAUCCAUUGGGUUCUGCAUGCAUGGGUUCCAAUCCCAUCCUCAUGG